rnacentral:rRNA from 1 species
UACGGAGGGUGCAAGCGUUAUCCGGAUUCACUGGGUUUAAAGGGUGCGUAGGUGGGAAUGUAAGUCAGUGGUGAAAUCUCCGUGCUUAACAUGGAAACUGCCAUUGAUACUAUGUUUCUUGAAUUUUUCUGGAGGUCAGCGGAAUAUGUCAUGUAGCGGUGAAAUGCUUAGAUAUGACAUAGAACACCAAUUGCGAAGGCAGCUGACUACAGGGACAUUGACACUGAGGCACGAAAACGUGGGGAUCAAACAGG